rnacentral:misc_RNA from 1 species
GCAGAACAACAGGAGCAAAACCUCAGAAUACACAGACAGUCUAGUCACCCUUGUAAGUUCCAGGAAUCUCACCUCUAAUAAUUUUCCUGUUUUCGGUCAAUCAUCCUUAUGCAGCAUUUAAGAACGAUCAGUCCCUGAAUUUGUGUACUUUUAAUACAUCUUACCCAAAAACCAGACGUGGAAGAAAUUUCAGGCAGGGACAGUGGAAGAGCUUUAUGACCCAAACCUAAUGUUGCACAACCACCAUAACAGCAACGUGAAGAAUGAUGUUCUGCGAGUAGUGCAUUUAGGACUCUUGUGUACCCAAGAGAUACCUUCGCUCCGACCAACAAUUGCAAAGGCGCUACAGAUGCUAACAACAGAGGAACAACUCCCUGCACCCACUAAU